UGGCUCUCCCAUCGAUGAAGAACGCAGCGAAAUGCGAUAAGUAAUGUGAAUUGCAGAAUUCAGUGAAUCAUCGAAUCUUUGAACGCACCUUGCACCCAUUGGUAUUCCGAUGGGUAUGCCUGUUUGAGUGUCAUUAAAUUCUCAACCUAAUAAGCUUUAUUGUCUUGUUAGGCUUGGAUGUGAGGGUUAUUGCUGGCUUCCUUAAGUGUGAUGGUCAGCUCCCUUGAAAUGCAUUAGUGGAAUCCUUUGUGGAACGUUCACAGAGUGUGAUAAUUAUCUAUGCUCCUUGUAUGAAUGUGAAGCAAUACUAUGGAAUCUGCUUAUAACCGUCCUUCAGUUGGACACUUUAAUUGACAAUUUGACCUCAAAUCAGGUAGGACUACCCGCUGA
rnacentral:misc_RNA from 1 species